rnacentral:lncRNA from 1 species
AUGGUUGAAGGCUUUCUCUGCUGUUAUUGGUAUUUCACAGCUUUGGUUAAGAAAACUAGUUGGAAGGAGGGUAGUUUAAGGAGGCUAAAGGGGUCUGACUUGUUUUCAAGUGUGAAGCCUGGGUAUCCAUGCUAUACAGUCAACAGCGUGCUGGUUUUGUACCUGUUCACCCUCCUUGUUACUUUGAAAACUUCAAGAACAACUUGUACAAUGGUUCAACUUGGUGACAUUCAGCCUGCACGUCUUCAUACAGAGGAUUCAAUACAAGAAACAAGCUGUGUUGGAAAGUACGAGACAGCUCUGUGCCACAGCAUGGCUUUGGAUAACUUUGCAGAUGUUACUUUUCUGUACAUACUGCUGGAGGCUCCCAAGUAUCCAGUCUCUGUCCUGUUCCCUGGCAUUCAGUUCACCUAGCCUUGGUUCCAAUGAGGAGUUUUCAGUAAUGCCUUUAGAUUAAAUGUAUAAUUCUUCUGCAGUAACUACACACCUGAAAAUGUUACUGAGACUAUAAAAUGAAAUAUUAGAGCAAUAUGAAGAGAGAGACAUAUUUUAUUUCAAUGUAUCAUUUAAUUGGGUAUUUGUCCAGACGUGAUUUAUCAGGGAAACUAGAAUGUUUCAAGUAGCUUAAGUGUUAUUUCCUGUUUUAUUCUUUGGGCAGGGGAAUAAAAUGAAUUUGGGAAACUAACUGGUCGCUAAA